GACGAACGCUGGCGGCGUGCUUAACACAUGCAAGUCGAACGGAAAUGCCCUGCUUUUGUGGGGUGCUCGAGUGGCGAACGGGUGAGUAACACGUUAGUAACCUGCCCUUGACUUUGGGAUAACUUCAGGAAACUGGGGCUAAUACCGGAUAGGAGCUCCUGCUGCAUGGUGGGGGUUGGAAAGUUUCGGCGGUUGGGGAUGGACUCGCGGCUUAUCAGCUUGUUGGUGGGGUAGUGGCUUACCAAGGCUUUGACGGGUAGCCGGCCUGAGAGGGUGACCGGCCACAUUGGGACUGAGAUACGGCCCAGACUCCUACGGGAGGCAGCAGUGGGGAAUAUUGCACAAUGGGCGGAAGCCUGAUGCAGCAACGCCGCGUGCGGGAUGACGGCCUUCGGGUUGUAAACCGCUUUCGCCUGUGACGAAGCGUGAGUGACGGUAAUGGGUAAAGAAGCACCGGCUAACUACGUG
rnacentral:rRNA from 1 species